UGCAAGUCGAACGAUAACGCCCCCUUCGGGGGGUUAUUAAAGUGGCGAACGGGUGAGGAACACGUGGAUAAUCUUCCCCUAUAUCCGGGAUAAUCCUUCGAAAGGAGGUCUAAUACCGGAUAAUACUUUUUGGUGGCAUCACCAGAUAGUCAAAGGCGGGGUAACCUGCCGUUUAGGGAUGAGUCCGCGCCCCAUUAGCUUGUUGGUAGGGUAACGGCCUACCAAGGCUCCGAUGGGUAGCCGGCCUGAGAGGGCGACCGGCCACACUGGGACUGAGAUACGGCCCAGACUCCUACGGGAGGCAGCAGUAAGGAAUAUUGCGCAAUGGACGAAAGUCUGACGCAGCAACGCCGCGUGGGUGAUGAAGCACCUUGGUGUGUAAAACCCUUUCAGUGGGGAAGAACCGUGCGAUGAGUAACUGCGUUGCACCUGACUGUACCCACAGAAGAAGUCCCGGCUAACUCCGUGCCAGCAGCCGCGGUAAUACGGGGGGGACGAGCGUUGUUCGGAUUUACUGGGCGUAAAGGGCGCGUAGGCGGACCUUCAAGUCGGAAGUGAAAACCGUUGGCUUAACCAGCGGCCUGCUUUCGAUACUGUCGGUCUUGAGUUCAGGAGAGGAAAGCGGAAUUCCAGGUGUAGCGGUGAAAUGCGUAGAUAUCUGGAAGAACACCGGUAGCGAAGGCGGCUUUCUGGCCUGCCACUGACGCUAAAGCGCGAAGGCUAGGGUAGCAAACAGGAUUAGAUACCCUGGUAGUCCUAGCAGUAAACGAUGGGUACUA
rnacentral:rRNA from 1 species